rnacentral:rRNA from 1 species
AUUGAACGCUGGCGGCAUGCCUUACACAUGCAAGUCGAACGGCAGCACGGGAGCAAUCCUGGUGGCGAGUGGCGAACGGGUGAGUAAAGUAUCGGAACGUGCCCAGUCGUGGGGGAUAAAGUAGCGAAAGUUACGCUAAUACCGAAUACGAUCUAUGGAUGAAAGCGGGGGAUCGCACGACCUCGCGCGAUACUACCGGCCGAUAUCAGAUUAGGUAGUUGGUGGGGUAAAGGCUCACCAAGCCGACGAUCUGUAGCUGGUCUGAGAGGACGACAAGCCACACUGGGACUGAGACACGGCCCAGACUCCUACGGGAGGCAGCAGUGGGGAAGUUUGGACAAUGGGCGAAAGCCUGAUCCAGCCAUGCCGCGUGCAGGAUGAAGGCCUUCGGGUUGUAAACUGCUUUUGUACGGAACGAAAAGGUUUGGCCUAAUAAGCUGAGCUCAUGACGGUACCGUAAGAAUAAGCACCGGCUAACUACGUGCCAGCAGCCGCAGUAA